rnacentral:pre_miRNA from 1 species
UUUAAGUGUAGUUAUCGGUUUCUAUGUUCGACGUUUGAUCAUCCGUCUUAUUUAAAAUAUUUUUAUGAUUAGUAUUUUUUUAUUGAUAUUAGAUAAUAAAUACUUGACUUAUUAUUAUUUUUUAUUUUUUAUAAUUUUUUAAAUAAAAUGGAUGGUCAAAUGGUGAAAAAAGCGGUUUGACUACACUUAAA